rnacentral:rRNA from 1 species
GAUGAACGCUGGCGGCGUGCUUAACACAUGCAAGUCGAACGGUGAAGCAGGAGCUUGCUCUUGUGGAUCAGUGGCGAACGGGUGAGUAACACGUGAGCAACCUGCCCCUGACUCUGGGAUAAGCGCUGGAAACGGUGUCUAAUACUGGAUAUGUGAUGUGACCGCAUGGUCUGCAUCUGGAAAGAAUUUCGGUUGGGGAUGGGCUCGCGGCCUAUCAGCUUGUUGGUGAGGUAAUGGCUCACCAAGGCGUCGACGGGUAGCCGGCCUGAGAGGGUGACCGGCCACACUGGGACUGAGACACGGCCCAGACUCCUACGGGAGGCAGCAGUGGGGAAUAUUGCACAAUGGGCGAAAGCCUGAUGCAGCAACGCCGCGUGAGGGAUGACGGCCUUCGGGUUGUAAACCUCUUUUAGCAGGGAAGAAGCGAAAGUGACGGUACCUGCAGAAAAAGCACCGGCUAACUACGUGCCAGCCGCCGCCGUAAUAC